ACUGUGGAGUGUACAAGAACUUGUGAGUAGUAUAUCCGUUUAUAGAUUACUAAAGCAUACACGUUGAAGCAGUAA
rfam:Eubacterium ruminantium strain ATCC 17233 genome assembly, contig: EI46DRAFT_scaffold00008.8